CAGUGGGAGUUUUCUUCUCUGAAGUUUUGAAAUAAACAGACAUGCACUGUUUAUUUCAAAACUUCAGAGAAGAAAACUCCCACUG